rnacentral:lncRNA from 1 species
UAAAAUAAAAAUAUUAAAAAAAAUAUUCUAUUUUCUUAUGAAACAAUAUUUAUAGAGAUAUCCGUAAAUAAUUUUUGUAACGUAAAAGCAAAAUAAAUUCGUACACACAGUAACACAGUGAACCAGAGUGUGUAAUUUAAUUUACAAUGACAUGUGAGCCCCCCCCGAAUGACCAAAAGUAACGAAGGCUGCGAACCUACGAUUUUGAGGAUGCAAAUCUAACUAUAGCCCUCGACGAAAUCAGCUAUCUACAGAGUAACCUGAGCCUGGAAUGAGUGGAAAGGAGGGGUGAGUUUUGAUAAACCUAAUGAGUAAAUAAACAUCAUCUAAAAUAUCUAAAGCUGAGUAAAUGGAGAUAACUUAAAAUAGUUCAUCAUACUAUGAUUCAUAACGUUUCAAACUCAUUUCAACUAAACAAAAUAAAUUCAUUUCACUCAAAUAAUCAACAUGGCUUAUGAACUUCUUAAAAAUUUGGCUCAUGCCAAAACUUAUUCUCGGGGAUACCUUGGUCGAGGCAUCUAACCGAGUCCGCCAAGGUUGUUAAAGAAAAGUUCAUAUACGCAUUAAACACAUUUUUUUCGUUUAAAAGCAUAGCCGUUCCUUGACAUUGGCUGAGUUCACUCUCGCGUGGUGGUUUAGCGUGUAGUGAACUCUAAAGCUUUACCUCAAGAGUUACCCUCCGUGCCUCUUGUACCGAGGUAAAAUAUAAUGGAGUUUACCGUGCCCCUCUAAUAGGCUGGUCCACAGAAACCCGUCCACUGCAGUAAGCUAAUCGAUAUCCCACCAAAUCAAUAAAAGUUUCGACAACAUGACAUGACAAUUAUAUUACUACCCAGCCUGUUAAGGCAAAACAAACAGUUCAUACAAUUUCAACACUAUUUUCAAUUCAGCCAUUCAUGCCAAUAUCACCAUAAACCAUUCAAUUCAAAUCAUAAAUUUACAACACAAACAAACAGUCUCCAAUUACUCAAUUUCUAAAAUCAUUAUUCAAUUUCAAAAUGAUUUAUAAAACUCAUUUCAUUUAAUCAUAUUUUACUUAUAAAAUAUAAGGAUUUACCAUUUAAACUCAUUUUUCUAUAAAAUCACAAAAAAGAAUAAAAACUACUUUAGAUAAUUAAGACGAUAAUAAGGUUACUUACGAUAUCGGGAGUCGAAGUACUCCUAGUCUCGAUUUUCAGGUAUAAUCUCCUUACCCUUAUUAGAAGACUCACCACUUAUACACAAUACACGAUAAAUAAUUCAAUAUAUUGUGUCAUGUCAUUAUAAAUCUAUUUUAGGCUCUAUAUGAAUGCAUGAGGUUGCUUGGAUAGUCAUUUAAAGAUGGUGUUACACGUUGGUUCAAUUGUGAUCGGAAUGGAUCGGUUUUCGACCUAAUUCAAACUCUCCACCUUUGAUUUAACCAAAACAUCCAAAUUGACUCCAAUUAUAUUCAUCACACUUAUAAUGUCCCAAAAUACACCAAAGCGCCUCAAUGAGCUUGACUUUCUCAUUGUUAUUCAACUUAUUUACUAAAAGAACUAUACUUUAAAAUUACCAUUUUCGAUUUUCAUCACCACCAUUCAUUAAAUUCUAACUAAAUAACACAAGAAUCAUCAUCACUAGGUUCCUUAUGAAAUUCGGCCAUGGUGGGUGCAUAAACACUAUGAUUUUUCAUACUUUAUUUUUUUUAUACCAUAAAUCAUUAGUUUCUAACCAAAUCACUUGAAAUAAAAUCAAAUCCACCAUCAACAUACCAUAAGGAAGAUUCGGCCAAUGAGGGUGAUGGAAGAACAUGAAUUUUUUCUUGUUUGCUUUUCAUGCUACACAUCACCAACCAACUAAAAACACUAGAAUAACAUGUUUUCCAACUAAAUUCAUCAUCAAAUCUUCUCCCCCUAGGUUAGGCCAACAAGGGAUCCAUCAUGAAAUCAUGAAUUUCAACCAUGGAAAAUGAGAAAGAAUGCUUAAGGAAGAUAGAUCUCAAGCUAAAAUUGAAAAAUCUUACCUUUUGUCACUUGAUUCCUUAAAAUUCCAAAAUUUUCUCUCGAAUUUUCUAACUAGGGUCUUGUUCUUUCUUUCUUUCCUCUUUUCCUUGGUGAGGCCG